AUUGAACGCUGGCGGCAGGCCUAACACAUGCAAGUCGAACGGUAACAUGAAGCAUCUUGCUGCUUCGCUUUCGAGUGUCGUACGUGUGAGUAAUGUCUGUGAAACUGCCUUAUUGAUGGGGUUAACUACUGUAAACUUUAGCUAAUACCGCAUAACUUCUCAAGACCAUAUAUCGUUACCUUAUUGCCUCUUUCCAUCGGCUGUUCCCAGAUGGGAUUAGCUAGUAGGUGGGGUAACGUCUCACCUAGGCGACGAUCCCUAGCUGGUCUGAGAGGAUGACAAGAAACACUGGAAGUGAGACACGGACAAGACUCAUACGGGAGGGAGCAGAGGGGAAUAUUGGACAAUGGGCGAAAGCAUGAUGGAGAAAAGCCGAGUGUAUGAAGAAGGCAUUAGGGUUGUAAAGUACUUUCAGCGGGGAGGAAGGGAGUAAAGUUAAUAAAUGUGAUCAUUGACGUUACCAGAAGAAGAAGCACCGGCUAACUCCGUG
rnacentral:rRNA from 1 species